UACGUAGGGGCAAGCGUUGUCCGGAAUCAUUGGGCGUAAAGAGCGUGUAGGCGGCUCGGUAAGUCCGCUGUGAAAGUCCAGGGCUCAACCCUGGGAUGCCGGUGGAUACUGUCGAGCUCGAGUCCGGAAGAGGCGAGUGGAAUCCUGGUGUAGCGGUGAAAUGCGCAGAUAUCAGGAGGAACACCAAUGGCGAAGGCAGCUCGCUGGGACGUGACUGACGCUGAGACGCGAAAGCGUGGGGAGCAAACAGG
rnacentral:rRNA from 1 species